rnacentral:rRNA from 1 species
GUGAACUCCACAUCCGCAUCCUUUGCUGAGGAUACGGUUAACGGAGCGAAAGCGACGUUCAACCGCAAAACAAGCAGAGGGGGCUUAGUGGUGGGGUGACUGCGUACCUUUUGUAUAAUGGGUCAGCGACUUAUAUUCUGUAGCAAGGUUAACCGAAUAGGGGAGCCGGAGGGAAACCGAGUCUUAAUUGGGCGUUAAGUUGCAGGGUAUAGACCCGAAACCCGGUGAUCUAGCCAUGGGCAGGUUGAAGGUUGGGUAACACUAACUGGAGGACCGAACCGACUAAUGUUGAAAAAUUAGCGGAUGACCUGUGGCUGGGGGUGAAAGGCCAAUCAAACCGGGAGAUAGCUGGUUCUCCCCGAAAGCUAUUUAGGUAGCGCCUCGUGAAUUCAUCUCCGGGGGUAGAGCACUGUUUCGGCUAGGGGGCCAUCCCGGCUUACCAACCCGAUGCAAACUGCGAAUACCGGAGAAUGUUAUCACGGGAGACACACGGCGGGUGCUAACGUCCGUCGUGAAGAGGGAAACAACCCAGACCGCCAGCUAAGGUCCCAAAGUCAUGGUUAAGUGGGAAACGAUGUGGGAAGGCCCAGACAGCCAGGAUGUUGGCUUAGAAGCAGCCAUCAUUUAAAGAAAGCGUAAUAGCUCACUGGUCGAGUCGGCCUGCGCGGAAGAUGUAACGGGGCUAAACCAUGCACCGAAGCUGCGGCAGCGAACGUAUCACCCAAGACAACUUUACGGAGUUGACGAUUGACGGAGCGAAGCGACGUCAAAGCGUUCAUUAAAGUCGAGUUGGCUUAGGGAUACGUUCGUUGGGUAGGGGAGCGUUCUGUAAGCCUGUGAAGGUGUGUCGUGAGGCAUGCUGGAGGUAUCAGAAGUGCGAAUGCUGACAUAAGUAACGAUAAAGCGGGUGAAAAGCCCGCUCGCCGGAAGACCAAGGGUUCCUGUCCAACGUUAAUCGGGGCAGGGUGAGUCGACCCCUAAGGCGAGGCCGAAAGGCGUAGUCGAUGGGAAACGGGUUAAUAUUCCCGUACUUGGUGUUACUGCGAAGGGGGGACGGAGAAGGCUAUGUUGGCCGGGCGACGGUUGUCCCGGUUUAAGCGUGUAGGUGUGUGUUCCAGGUAAAUCCGGUU